rnacentral:rRNA from 1 species
AUUGAACGCUGGCGGCAUGCCUAACACAUGCAAGUCGAACGGUAACGACGGGAGCUUGCUCCCGGGCGACGAGUGGCGGACGGGUGAGUAAUACUUAGGAAUCUGCCCAGUAGUGGGGGACAACUCGAGGAAACUCGAGCUAAUACCGCAUACGCCCUACGGGGGAAAGUGGAGGAUCUUCGGACUUCACGCUAUUGGAUGAGCCUAAGUCGGAUUAGCUUGUUGGUGAGGUAAUAGCUCACCAAGGCGACGAUCCGUAGCUGGUCUGAGAGGACGAUCAGCCACACUGGGACUGAGACACGGCCCAGACUCCUACGGGAGGCAGCAGUGGGAAAUAUUGGACAAUGGGCGCAAGCCUGAUCCAGCAAUGCCGCGUGUGUGAAGAAGGCCAGCGGGUUGUAAAGCACUUUCAGUAGAGAAGAAAAGCCUAGGGUUAAUACCCCUGAGUCUUGACGUAACCUACAGAAGAAGCACCGGCUAACUCCGUG